GGCCAGGCAGGGUCGGCGUUUAGCGCUAGAGGCGCCCCCGAGAGCAACGAAGUCACCGGGAGGGCGACACGAAAGCGACGGCUCUCUUCAACUUGAUGACAACUGCUGACAAAAAGACAAGGACGGACAGAGGCUUUCACGGGCACUUGGGAUUCUCGAGUUUUGCUUCAAUGCCGUGCCAAGCCACACUGAUUCAUGUUGAUGUCCGGUCUACGUGAGGAAGGAAUGCCAAUAAAAAUGCAGAUGUUGCCAGUAUCCUGAAUGGCAGACGUUCCUGUGGUUUUGUUUUGCUGAUGUGUUGGUCCUGCUUAUUUAUUAGCGGCUAAGGGAGUUUGUGUUUCCUCGGAGGCGGAGCCCUAACCCUGACUCCACCUCUCACUUCCGGGCUGGACGGACAGACAGACACGCACACAGAGACAGACACUUCCACGUGUAGACGUUGUGCCUAGAGGAUGGAAGGACUGAGAGAGGAGCAGUACCUCACCUGGAACACAAGAGGGCAGCCAUCCUGGUGGGUGUUGUGGCCACCGCCAGGGGGCACCUGGAUGGUUCAGAAGCCAUCAGCGGUUAUCAGGGAUCACAUCAGGGUGCCUUAUAAAAGGGGCCGCCUCACUCCAUUCAGGGA